UACGUAGGGUCCAAGCGUUGUCCGGAUUUAUUGGGCGUAAAGAGCUCGUAGGCGGCUCAGUAAGUCGGAUGUGAAAACUCGGGGCUCAACCCCGAGACGCCAUCCGAUACUGCUGUGGCUUGAGUCUGGUAGGGGAACACGGAAUUCCUGGUGUAGGCGGUGAAAUGCGCAGAUAUCAGGAGGAACACCGAUGGCGAAGGCAGGUCUCUGGGCCGAUACUGACGCUGAGGAGCGAAGACAUGGGUAGCGAACAGG
rnacentral:rRNA from 1 species